GCCCAAGUGGCGGAAUUGGUAGACGCGCACGGUUCAGGUCCGUGUGCCUGCAAGGGCGUGGGGGUUCGAGUCCCCCCUUGGGCAC
rnacentral:tRNA from 1 species